rnacentral:snoRNA from 1 species
AGAUUAUUGAAAACAAAAACAUUUUCCUGUAACAGUGGUUUAAACAGGGGUGCACACAGCAAGUGAAUCUCAUCGCCUUUGGGAGUCUGUGGCUGUGCCCCUCAAAGUGAAUUUGGAGGUUCCAUAUCC